rnacentral:rRNA from 1 species
GGAUUCCCCCUAGUAACUGCGAGUGAAGCGGGAAAAGCUCAAAUUUGAAAUCUGGCAGGUCUUUGAACUGAUCCGAGUUGUAAUCUAGAGAAGUGUUACCUGUGCUGGACCGUGUACAAGUCUCCUGGAAUGGAGCGUCACAGAGGGUGAGAAUCCCGUCUUUGACACGGACUGCCUGUACGUUAUGGUGCGCUCUCAAAGAGUCGAGUUGUUUGGGAAUGCAGCUCAAAAUGGGUGGUAAAUGCCAUCUAAAGCUAAAUAUUGGCGAGAGACCGAUAGCGAACAAGUACCGUGAGGGAAAGAUGAAAAGUACUUUGGAAAGAGAGUUAAACAGUACGUGAAAUUGCUGAAAGGGAAACGCUUGAAGUCAGUCGCGUUGGCUAGAAAUCAACCUUGCUUUUGCUUGGUGUACUUUCUUGUUGACGGGUCAGCAUCAAUUUUGACCGUUGGAUAAAGUCUUUGGGAAUGUGGCAUCUUAGGAUGUGUUAUAGCCCAUUGUCGCAUACAGCGGUUGGGAUUGAGGAACUCAGCACGCCCGCAAGGGACGGGUUUUUUUACCACGUUCGUGCUUAGGAUGCUGGCAUAAUGGCUUUAAUCGACCCGUCUUGAAACACGGACCAAGGAGUCUAACAUGCCUGCGAGUGUUUGGGUGGAAAACCCAUGCGCGCAAUGAAAGUGAAAGUUAAGAUCCCUUUCUUGGGGAGCAUUGACGCCCGGACCAGACCUUCUGUGACGGUUCCGCGGUAGAGCAUGUAUGUUGGGACCCGAAAGAUGGUGAACUAUGCCUGAAUAGGGUGAAGCCAGAGGAAACUCUGGUGGAGGCUCGUANCGAUUCUGA